AAAAAGAGUUUCUGUUGUGAGUGGCACACAUAGGGCAACUCAUUCCUUCUGUGUGUGUGUGAUCAACAUCAACAGAUUUUGGAAGCAUAAUUUUUUGGUACUUGGGGAGCUAGUGAUUGUUGGUCUUGGUAUCCUU
rnacentral:snRNA from 1 species